AUUGAACGCUGGCGGCAUGCCUAACACAUGCAAGUCGAACGGAAGCACGGGUUCUGGCUCCGGGUGGCUGGGGGCCGGGGGGGGAGUUACACAUCGGUUCGUCUGCUGUAGGGGGAAAUAGUCCGGAAACCGGCUCAUUAAUACCGCACACGAUCUGGGGACAAAUGGGGGGGCCCUUGACGCCUCGCGCUGUAGGGUUGGCCGAUGGCUUAUUAGCUAGUUGGUGGGGUAAAGGCCUACCAAGGCGACGAUCAGUAUCUGGUCUGAGAGGACGACCAGCCACACUGGGACUGAGACACGGCCCAGACUCCUACGGGAGGCAGCAGUGGGGAAUUUUGGACAAUGGGCGAAAGCCUGAUCCAGCAAUGCCGCGUGUGUGAAGAAGGCCUUCGGGUUGUAAAGCACUUUUGUUCGGAAAGAAAUCCUGUGCGCUAAUACGGUCGGGGGAUGACGGUACCGGAAGAAUAAGCACCGGCUAACUACGUG
rnacentral:rRNA from 1 species